UCGAGCGAAUGACGCGAAGGUUUCUGUCACGCUUCUUUCGUUAUUUCUUGUAUGCUUGUUUUAGUGAGAAAUUGUGGUUAUAGAUUACAGAAAGUGUCAAAAAAUGUGUUAAAACUCUUUCUUGAUAGAACUAAGCGUUUAUUAACUUGGGAAACGUACAAGCCGUGAAGAGCCAAAACACGUGAACCUUGCCAAGAAUUUGGUUAUAUAUCUGUUAUUCAAUUAUACGACAAUGGCAGUUUUUUAAUACUGCCGGUGAAUUACAAAAAUUGAAAAAACCAAUAACAAUGAAAAGAUAGGAUGAAACGUGUCCAGCAUCAUACAAGCUCAGCUGUUCUUGCAUGUGCCUGAAUGAAUGAAGUGUUCCCUUAUUUUAGUUAUAUUGGCAACUCGUCAGUAUUUUUUUCAACAUGGAGGAAAGAUGAAAAUCAGCCUAUACACCAUGUAAAGGCACGAAUAAAAUUACACAACCAGGCUGGAGGGUCCAUGUGUGGGAAUAUCCAAGUGGUGAGAUUCUCUUUAAAGAGAAUAGUCAUUGGAAAAUGGUUACUGAAAUCCAUUGGGAUCUGAAACCAUCCUGGGAGGAUAUCUUAGCUACUCUCGACCAUUCUAAGUUGUAGUAACAUUUACUAGAAUAUUGGUGCUAAAACGGCCCUGAAGCUCCUGACACAACUGCUUUCUUUCCAAAUACGUUUUAUUUUCUUAAAAAAGUAACACCUUGAAAAAAACGUUCAAGCGUUUAAUUUUAGUUUUUCAUAUGGUCGUCCUAAAAGUUAACCAUUUUCGCUUUUCACAUUUUUGACGAUUUUUGGCAAUUUGAAUUGCAAUUACCCGAAUGGUUUCUAAUUUUUUUUUCUCGUAUUCUUGCUUCAUGUCGAGUUAGUUAAAGGGUAUUUUAAUGUCGUUCAAAUAAAAAUUGA